GGGGAAACAACUCUAUUACUAAAAUGGAAGCGCCAUCUUGAUGCUAGGAAUGGUCUUUUUCUGUUUACGAAAAGGUUGAUUUAGCGGAUCGUACAUAUCAGAAUGACAAGUAAGUCAGCCACAUAAUAUUUUGAGAACAUGAGCUUGCGAUCUAUCUAUAUAUAUAACAAUAAUAAUCGCACCGAAAUAACUAUCUAAAUCAGACGAUCAAAAAGUUGUGCUAUAGAAAAUUAUUGAAAGGAAAUCGCAAGGUACUUGCGAUUUCAACUUUUUUCAAGAAAAUGAAACAUAAAGUUUAACUAUUCAUUUUUUUUACGUAAUAUCCUGUAUACAUGGUGUUUAAAGUUCUACUACUCGAUAUUGGAAGACAAAAAAUAAAUCAAACAACAAAAUAACGAGUUUGCAGUUGCAUGUUGACAUUGUUGUUGUUCUAUUGAUAUGCUAAUCAAACACCACGUCAGAAAAUAUUUACCACACAGUCAUGACAAAUCCAAGAUAUAGUUCCUACUUUAAGUGUUGACAGAAUGUAAGUUAAUAACAUCCUAAAUUUAAUAUAAUUUGCAUUUCUUGAUAAACAUAAUAUAAAUAAGUAUUUUUUUUUAAAUGUACCAUGUUUGUACUCUCAGUCAUUGUUUAAUUGUCUGGUCAGUUUUUAAAUUGUUGUAUUGCACAUGGUAAGCAUAUUUGCUCAUUUUAUAAAGGAAACCAUAGAUGUGGUAGGGUUGCCAAUGAGACACCUCUCCACAAUGACACAUAAAUUAUAACAUUUCUAUAUAUGUCAAUAUAUAGUAUUGUACAGCCUACAACAAUGACCAAAGCCCAUACAGCAGUCAGCUAUAAAAGGCAGAAAAAUGACAAAUGUAUAACAAUUCAAGUGAGAAAACUAAAUAACUUAUGUAACAGAAAAAGCAAAACAACAAAUAUGUAACACAUCAACAAAUGACAAUCAAUGAAUUGCAGACCCCUGACUUGGUUAUCAGCUCGUUGAUUGUGGCCAUUAUCAGGCAGAAGCAGAAGGGAAAGACACAUAUAUACAUGUACUUACAGAAUGUGGCGGGGUUAAACAUGUUAGCUAGAUACCAACCCUCCCCUAACCUGGGACAGUGGUGUUACAAUACAGCAUAAGAAGGAACUAUAAAAAACUUGUUGAAAAAGGCCUAAAUAAGCUAAUAAGUAUUCUUUAUUUGAAGUCAGGUUGCAUUCAGUGAUAUUGUUGGCUUUUUCAAAACUACCUCUAUCCUUUUUUAUUGGGAAAAUAUGCGAAAUUUACAUCAAAUUGGGAAAUUUAAAAUAAACCAUGAAUUUGACUGAAACUUCAAAUUACAGACCCCUUUUCAGGAUCAGUCAAAUCCUGCUUUGAAAUAAGACCCCUUUUGUCAGUAAUCAUAAAUGAUACAUAAAUAGACCCUCAUAUCUGCACGUAUGGUCAUAUUAGGCAUGAAAAAUGUAUUAACAAGUGUCUUUCAGUUUGUAUUCAUGCACAAUUACUACUAUAUAUGACUGCACUGUUUGAGAAAAAAGUUGUUUUUUUGGGAAUAAUUUUAAGCCAUUUUUUUCAAAUUGGGAAUCUUCUCCAGGGGAAAAAGCCUUUCUUCUCUACUAAUUUAAGGCAAACAAUAUCACUGGGCAUUAUGCUUAUAUAUACAUGUAUAUAAAUAUUUAAUAAUAACAAGGACCAUAAGCUCUUAAUUGAAGCUCUUUAAAGGAUUAUGUACCCUUUUGCUAAACAUUGAAAUUUCCAAGCCUUUGUACUCUAAUAUUUGACCAUUCUAUGCUAUAUAGAUAGAGCAUUAAUGCAUGCAAUGAUUUCUUUUAUAGUACAAGUUUAUAAAUCAAAAUACUGGUUACAACAAAUGUAAAUAUGAACCAAUUCAAAUACAUCUUCUAAUGUGCCCUCUACUUUCAGAGUGACUCACCAGGUUUUUUGGAAUGUAAAGGUUAUUCAGUAUAUAUAAAAAAAAAAGAUGUGGUACAUGUAUGAUUGCCAAUAAGACAACUCUCCUCAAAAGACCAAAAUGACACAGAAAUUAACAACUAUAGGUCACUGUACAGCCUUCAACAAUGAGCAAAGCCCAUAUGACAUAGUCAGCUAUAAAAGGCCUUGAAAUGACAAUGUAAAAAACUCAAUAAAAAAACUAAUGGCCUUAUUUAUUUUUAAAAAAUGAACGAAAAACAAAUACAUGUAUGUAACACAUAAAUGCACGACAACCACACAGGCUCCUGACUUGGGACAUGCACAUACAUACAUACAUGUAUAGUGGCUGGGUCAAACAUGUUAGCAGGAUCCCAACCUUUUUGUAAAUAACAAAUUAAUCAUUGCAUCCCAUUAUCCUAUUUUGUAUUUUAUGCAAUAAAACAUUAAAUAAUAUAGCUGCUUUGAAAGGAGUUUCCCCUUGGGUUACAUGAUCUUACAUGUAUGAGUGCAAAAUGAAACAUCUCUUAUAUUGAUUAUCUUUGCUGUUUUGACAUGUUUGAUAUUAUUGCACUAAGAAAAUUCCCCCUUUUUUUUCUUCAAACCUUUAGAUUUUGAGUGUUGCAGAUGCUGUUCAGUUUGCAGAGGUAUUUGAAAUGGAAAAAAAGAGAUAUAUGAACAUACAUUGACUGCUUUGAACUUAAGGUGUAAGUACAUUGUAUAUAUAUGAUAUUAAUUAUUAAGAUGAUCAGCUUAUCAGUGAAUGUAAAAACAUUUAUCUCCAAGUUCAAUAUUUCAGUUAAAGUCACAUUUUUUUAAAAUUUGUGUAUAAAGCAAGGCAAAUGUAAAAGAUAGUUUGUUGAUAGUCAUGAUAGUACAUUACUCAUCUUACAAUAUCAUACUUCUAGAAAAUCACAAUUUUAUUGGACUGUUUUCCCCUGUUGAAUAUACAAUUGAUAUUAAAAUUAAUCAUCAGUAACACAAGAAAAUUGUAUCUUUAGAGGCAGAUUUAGGGGGCAGUGGGCUGAACCUCCCCCUUUUUUGUGCGAAAAAUUUGGUUGAUUAUAUAGGGAAUCACUGAAGCAUGACUAGAGUGGGCCCCCUCUGAUGACUAUUUAUGUAUAUGCUUAUGAUCUUUAUAUAAUAACGUACUGUUACACAUUUUGUUUUAUUCUUGAUUUAUACUAUCCUAUUAUCUAUAUGAUUCUUCUCUUUUGUAGGUAAAAAUGAGUUACAUGUGCCAAAAAAUAUGUUGAAAAUUUGAAAACUGUUAACAAGAGCAUCAACAAAUAGAAAAAAGAACAAUACCAGGUCUAGACUUUUGUGGCUGCAUGCAAUUAUUUCUAAAAUACCAGGAAAAAAGAUGUAGCUGCACAGCAGACACCCCAGAUCAUAAAAUUGCAUGUAAAAAAGGAAAGCAUUCCUUUUCAUAGAAUCAAAGAAUAUUUUUAACCAAGUCAAGGUGUUAUUAGACAUGUUAUUAUAUAUAUACUAUAUAUUAGUAUUUACAAAUAUAAGAAGUAUGUGUGACUAUGUCAUGUGACAUGUAUGCUGAGAAUAUUUUAAUGUCACAAAGUUAUGAAAUGGAUAAAUGAAAUAUUGUCAACCAUUUAAAUAAAACAGACAAGCUCACAUAAAAAUCAACAGCCUAUGUGAAAGUUCAACUUCAAGUUUAAUAAAAUUGUUUAGAUUUAACAUACCAUAUAUCCAAAAGUACAGAAUUGCCUUUGUCAGAAAUUUUGUAUGUUUAAUAGAAUGAUAGUUGUAGCUUUUAUUUUCUUGCAACUGUUUCAAUAUAAAAUAGGGAGAUGUGGUAUGAUUGCCAAUGAGACAAAUUUCCACCAGAGACCAAAGUAAAUGUUAGAAAAUACAAGUCACAGUUAUGUUUGACAUUGUGUAGCAAUAUAUGAAAGACACAAAGAUUACAGAGUGUAAAAUAAUUCAAAC
rnacentral:lncRNA from 1 species